rnacentral:misc_RNA from 1 species
GAGUUCAUGCCCUCACGGGUAGAUCUCCCACCCUUGAAUAUAUUACCUUUGUUGCUUUGGCGGGCCGCAUCGUCCUCCGGCCCCGGCUGGGGAGUGCCCGCCAGAGGACCCAAACCCAAACCCAUUUAUAGUGUCGUCUGAGAAAAAGUUUAAUAUUUAAAACUUUCAACAACGGAUCUCUUGGCUCU